rnacentral:other from 1 species
UUGCCGUAUUCUGAAUUUGUCAGCAGGAAGCCGACACGGAACAGGAAAGACCCAAGGAUAGGUCAUCUUCAGGACGAAGAUUCGAUGAUUCAGGAUGAAACAUCGGCAAGGAAAGCAAAGGACAUUAGCAGGACGCGAAUAACUAGGAUGGUUAUCACGGAUGGUUAAUGGACAUCUUAAAGGAAUAAGGCACGUCUAUCAGGAUGAUAGAGUAAGGGACACCGCUAGGAUGGCGAUGAAACGGAAUGUGCUAACGGAUAUAGCAGACUAUCAAGGAAUUGAUGCAGGGAGCACUUGAUUAGUAGCCGGAUUGCUGCGAGUAAGAACUGAACCCCACUAGGCGUAAGCUUAGUGGGGUUUUCUUUUGUA